UACGAAGGGUGCAAGCGUUUAAUCGGAAUUACUGGGCGUAAAGCGUGCGUAGGCGGUUUGUUAAGUCCGUUGUGAAAGCCCUGGGCUCAACCUGGGAAUUGCAGUGGAUACUGGCAAGCUAGAGUCAGGUAGAGGGUGGUGGAAUUCCCGGUGUAGCGGUGAAAUGCGUAGAGAUCGGGAGGAACAUCUGUGGCGAAGGCGGCCACCUGGACCAUGGACUGACGCUGAGGCACGGAAAGCGUGGGGAGCAAACAGG
rnacentral:rRNA from 1 species